GACGAACGCUGGCGGCGUGCUUAACACAUGCAAGUCGAACGGAAAGGCCCUGCUUUUGUGGGGUGCUCGAGUGGCGAACGGGUGAGUAACACGUGAGUAACCUGCCCUUGACUUUGGGAUAACUUCAGGAAACUGGGGCUAAUACCGGAUAGGAGCUCCUGCUGCAUGGUGGGGUCGGAAAGUUUCGGCGGUUGGGGAUGGACUCGCGGGUUAUCCGCUUGGUGGUGGGGUAGUGGCUUACCAAGGCUUUGACGGGUAGCCGGCCUGAGAGGGUGACCGGCCACAUUGGGACUGAGAUACGGCCCAGACUCCUACGGGAGGCAGCAGUGGGGAAUAUUGCACAAUGGGCGGAAGCCUGAUGCAGCAACGCCGCGUGCGGGAUGACGGCCUUCGGGUUGUAAACCGCUUUCGCCUGUGACGAAGCGUGAGUGACGGUAAUGGGUAAAGAAGCACCGGCUAACUACGUG
rnacentral:rRNA from 1 species